UUCUCUGCCCGACCCUGAGCAGUGAAGGUUGUUGAAAGACCCCCGAAGGGAGCCCCCCACUCAAGUCUCGGGAAAGACGCGCACCCAGUAGGACACAGACACCG
rnacentral:pre_miRNA from 14 species